AUAAAAGCAUCCAGUACUCACAGAUGGAAGCACAGAAGUUAUAGCAGCUGUACAGUCUGUUGGCCAGUGAGCAUCAAACACAGCUGGAAUCUGCACAGCCAUGAGCGAGAGAAAAACACCUGGAGGAAUGACUGGAAAAACACCUGGAGGAAUGACUGGAAACACCAAACCAUCUGCUGGCCAAGCAAUGCAAGGUCAGCAAAAGGCUCCAUCUAAACGUAAGU